UGGCCUACUCAUCUGUAAUCUGUGUUUAGUAUUAUCUUUCAUUUCUGUUCCUGCAGAUGUGGUCUAUGAACUUUAUGUUGGAUUAUAUUCCACAUUAUUAUCUCAUUUCCUAUUCAGACUGCAAGUCUUUAUGUUCUUAGGGCUUGGUCUUAUCCCUAGCAGGUGGUUGCAGGAGGUUGGGGGUAUUAAUAGUCAAUAGAUGACUUAACUUGUUGGAAUAUAUAUUUCUGAUAUGUAAUUUUAAAACUACAUAUAUUCUUGAUAGUUUAUGGCUAGUUUGCUUAAGACCACAUGUUGUUCUUCUGUGUUAGUGAAUCUAACUGGAAAGACUUCACAGUUUCUUGCUGUCAUCAUUCCAGAGAGAGUCAGUUGGAACUCUGUGAGUUUGAGGCCAGAUGGGUCUACACAGUGAGUUCCAGGUUAACUGGCACUUCACAGUGGCCCUGUCUCAAAGAAAGGACAAACUUUCUUGCUUUGUGUAAUGGGGGAAAUUCAGCAGUGAAACUCCCCCCAAAUACCCAGAGACAUUGAAAUGACGAGUAUCUACUCUUGAGGUAAGGCCUGUGUAAAAGGGGAAUGUCAUACAUGAGUAAACCUGCCAUUAUGGAAACCAUAUCUUGGUAUGCAGAUCUAAAAAGAAUUUUAGAAAAUGUGAAAAAAAAUCAAAACCCAAGACAGAAGAGUGUUUACCAAUGGGAAAUAGAGCAAGGAGAAUGUGAGAGCACUUUUGCAAUAUUUCUUGUGACUGAAAAAAAAUUCUAUAGAAAAUUCAAAUUAAAACUAGACAAGAUAAAAGCUAUAUUAGAUGAAGCAAAAAUACUUUUCUGUCUUAUGCACUGUUAGGACCUGGUAUAAAAUAAAGGAUCAUGUAAAAAUAAAUCUCUAGAGUGCCUUGUUCAACAUUAAUAAAUAAUUUCAAAGCAUUGAUGGUAGGGUAUGAAGCCUUCAGGGACUUUUAGCAUGGGGGAUGCAUACUGUACAUAUUGCACACCAAAAUAGCAAACUAGUUGGCUCUGCAUGGAGAAAAAAUAUGUAUUCAUAUGUACCCAUUAAGAACUCCCCCAUUGGACGCUAAGAAGUUUACUUAUUUAGUUUAGAGCACUUUUUGCUCUUGAAGAGGACCUGGGUUUGGUUUCCAGAAUUCACUUGGUGAAUUUCAAGUGACUGUAACUCAAAUUUCAAGAAAUUUGAUAUCUUCUUUCACCUCUGUGGGUACCAAGGAUGUAGGUGGUACACAGACAUAUAUCCAGGCAAUAUACUUGUGCACAUAAGUGUUGCAGGAUUGUUGCUCACCCUAUGAACUCAGAGAUCAUGUUGUUUAGUGGAAAAACCUAUUUCUACUUGUGGUGUGGCUCAGUCCUCCACAUACCUUAAAUCCAAAAAUUUUUUGUUUCAAUAUUGUAAACAGGCUUAAACAAAAUCAACCAUAAGUCAAGGGGUGAAAGAAGCAACCAAUUGACUUGCAGUGGACAUAGGAAAAAAAAAUACAUAGAGAGUAAGAGGAAGUCAGGAAAAUGGGUAGAGAGAUGCACACAGGAAAUAGAAAGGAGGGGCAUUCAGUUUGAAGAAUUAUAGAGGUGGGCUUAAGGUACUCUCUUUGAAUCUUUCCUGCAGAAUUUUUUUCCAUGCUGCAGCACUGGAGUGAAGCACACUGUCCUCUUAUCACUGAAGAUUCAUUGAUGUGGGAUGUUGAAACAGUUUCAGGUGAUCCUUAUAGAGGGCAACUGUGGCCACUCCUGGCGUGCUGGAUGCUCCCACUGCCUUCCCAAGGAGUCCUGCCGUCACCAUGGCCAUCCAGCCAACACCACAGAAAACCAGGUGCCUAAAGGACAUCAGAACAAUCAACAAGAGCCAGAGCAAUAUGACACCUCCAAAGUGUAGGACCUUGAAAAGCAGCCUGGUUCCUCGUUGAGCUAAGACUAGAAACCCCAAUGACCCUACAACUGGCGCUAUCAAUGUUGCACAAACCCAGCUGAAGCGUACCCCCAGCUGGUGACCCACAAAGCCCCACAUGGGAACUCCACGUUAUUCAAGGCUGUGAGUAAACCCUGACCUAGUUCUAGAGGCCUUCCUCUGAUCUGUCUCUCUCCUUCUCUCCCUCCCUCUCUCCCCCCCUCUCCCCCUCCCCACGGGUUCUUGGUACCCUGCUCUACUUCAGUAGCAACUAGCCUCCACUCUUUGCCCCUCCCCCUGCCCCACAGUGAGGGCUCCUACAGAGCUAGCUAAUGAAGCUGCCUUUCAAAUGGCAGCUGCCUCAGGCACUCUGCUUCUCCUGCCUACCAGCAGGAGCCCAACCUGAGGUCCCCUGCAGGCCAAAAACCUAGGUCCUCCCUCAACCCUUUUGCACAAGCCAGCAGCCUGCUGCUGCUGGGGCUAGAAACACAGACAGAACAAAACUAUGGGUACUGCCUCUCACUCCCUUUGGCCCUGGUAUCAAGCCUCCAUGCUUCUUAUUUUGAGCUUUUCUUCAAGGUUGACCUUUCAUCUCCUUCUGCUCUACAUUUAGGAUAUACCAGCCAAGAAAAACCAAAUGGGAACACAAGGGGAUCUGACUGCUAGAGCGCAAGGCCACAGCAACCCUGAGCAAGCCCAUCCCCCCUGCACCUAGGCCAGCCAAAGACAAUGGAAAAACACACCUGACACCCUUAACCCAAAUGUUUUCGGGAUUGUUUGAAUGCAUGUUCUCCCUAACAGGAACAUCUAAAACAAUGUUCGUUCUUUUCAAACCGGAAUUUUCAUGCUUUUUUGUUUAAAUGUUUAUUUUUCUCCCUAGCACUUGUGACUUAUGUCCAAAAAGUUUUCAACUUGUUUGAGAUUUGUUUUAAAGUUCAAAAGUCAUCUAAUCUACUUCCACAGGUAAAACCAACUGUUAGAAUUCUGUCUAAACUCCACCACACAGUUACCUAGCAACAUCCAGGUAUGCUUGACCCACUCUUAAAGGGGCUGCUUGCCCCCUCCUCUCUCUCUUUCUCUUGCUCUCUUGUUUCUCUCUUGCCCUCUCGGGUUCUUCCCUUUCCCCUCUUUUCCCCAUUCCUUUCCCACUCUCUCCACGUGUUCAUGGCCAGCUCCUACUUUUCUCCUCUCUCUGCCUCUCUCUGCCUCUACUACCAUCUUAACUCCCCUCCCCAUGCACUGAAUAAACUCUAUCCUACAC